GCAGGAGAUAGCUCAGUUGGUCAGAGUGCAGUGCUGAUAACGUCAAGGUUGCAGGUUCGAUCUCUGUAUGGGACAGCUGCA
rnacentral:tRNA from 1 species